GUGGGGAAUCUUGCGCAAUGGGCGAAAGCCUGACGCAGCCAUGCCGCGUGAAUGAUGAAGGUCUUAGGAUUGUAAAAUUCUUUCACCGGGGACGAUAAUGACGGUACCCGGAGAAGAAGCCCCGGCUAACUUCGUGCCAGCAGCCGCGGUAAUACGAAGGGGGCUAGCGUUGCUCGGAAUUACUGGGCGUAAAGGGCGCGUAGGCGGACAGUUUAGUCAGAGGUGAAAGCCCAGGGCUCAACCUUGGAAUUGCCUUUGAUACUGGCUGUCUUGAGUUUGGGAGAGGUGAGUGGAACUCCGAGUGUAGAGGUGAAAUUCGUAGAUAUUCGGAAGAACACCAGUGGCGAAGGCGACUCACUGGCCCAAUACUGACGCUGAGGCGCGAAAGCGUGGGGAGCAAACAGGAUUAGAUACCCUUGUAGUCC
rnacentral:rRNA from 1 species